CCCUGGAGGACAGAGCAAGGGAGGGCCAGCUCCCUGUGCAGCUGACUAGUCGCCAAAGUUUGGGACAUGCAGAAAGGUAUGAGUGAUGGCUCUCCCAGCUGUGAAGGAGUCCUUGUCAUUCUGUGGGAGGCAGCGAAGAUUGAAUGCAGGCUCACUGCACCUUGAUUGGCCAUUUGAACCUUCUGCCAUUGGAUGUCUAGUGGAAGGAACUUCUUAUUCAUGUACUAGGCCCUGCGGCUUUGUUCUGAGGUGCCAACAGGGACAAGGGUGUGCUUACUUUGUUGCCAAAUGGUCCUCGUGAGUUCCAUACCUAGAAGCUGCACCAAGGACAGAAUUGCUGCGUGCUUUCUGUGAUUUACCAGGCCUCUGUAUGACUAUCUCUUCCAUGAGGCAAGCAUGUUUCCGUGACUACCGAUCCUGAAAGCGUCCACCAGGUGGUGUGCAGGACCAGGGCCAAAGCACUGUGGGCUGGCCAGCCCUCAGAGGACUGCUGCAUAGCUGGCAGUGUGAGGAGAAGUGGACUGCAUUGCUAAGCACUCCAUCAGCAUUCCACUUGAGGCAAGCUAGACAGGGCGGUUUCAGCAUGUGCCUAAAGAUGCACUGAAGAUCAGGUGAAUGCCGCACAGUAGGAGUGAGGGCUCUGUGUGGGCUAUUGAAAGGGCCUCAGUGGUCUGUCUGAGUCAAAACUAUGGGAAUGGAGGCUCACUGUAUGGCUCUCCACUGUAUUGGGGCGUGCUGUCUGCCAUCUUUGGGAAUUCAAGCUGACUGCAGGGCUAUGCCCUGUUCCUUUCUCCACAGGUUGCAGGCUGAAGUGACGGCAGGCUGACUGACUCAUGAAGCAUUCCUUGUCAGAUGGUUGGCCUCAGGCUGAGGUGGCUGUAUGCAUGCUCUGGAGAGCAGGAGCACUCUGUGUGAGUAGCAGUUCCUGAACAGUCUCCUGUUCAGAGCCUGGGAUGACAGUGAACUCACUUCCUGCCAGUCUGCACCUCCACGUUGCAGUGCAGGGAGGACGACGCCACGGGGUUCUCACCAUGUGACGAACAGACAGCUGUAUGCAUGCUGUGGAGAGCAUGAACACUCUGCAUGUAUAUUUGUUCCUAAAGAUUCGGCUUCAUGUAGCCUGGGAUUUGAGCGAAAUGACUUUGUGCUAGUCUGCAGCUCAAAGUUUCACUGGAAGGACGAUGCCUCCAGGUGGUUCUCACAAU